rnacentral:lncRNA from 1 species
AGAGAUCACCAACUCCUCCACUGAAACCAACUGCAGCAUCCUUCCGGAGAUGGAAGCAAGAGUGUUGGGGAAGGAGGUUCUCAUUGAGAUCCACUGUGAGAAAGAAUAUGGUGUUGAGCUCAAAAUAUUGGACCACCUUGAAAAUCUUCAUCUCUGUGUCACCGGAAGCAGUGUCUUGCCAUUUGGGAAUUCAGCUCUCUGCAUUACCAUUACAGCUCAGGUAUCUUAUAUCUUAUGCCUCAAUCCAGUUUACUUUCUUGCUCUAAUCUUUAAGAAAGAAUAUGGAUAGCUUUGUACGAAUCACCUAUAAUAUGUUGUCUCCACGAGUUAUCAUUCUCGAUGCAAGAGAAUGGGUUGGAGAUGUUACAUCUACCAGAGAUUAGAAUCAUAAUCUCAUGCAAACCUUUUUUUAUAAAUCAUUCUUAUUAGCUGAUUCUAUGAGAUUGAAACUUCUAACUUUCUUAAUAAUGUUACUUGAUGAAUAAUUGUAUAUUAAUCAGUAUUAUAUUGUGAUUAUGAUAUAUAUUGAAAUAGAGUAUGUAAGAGUUUGGUGUUAAUUAACUGCAGAUGGAUGAGGAGCGGCAAAUGACAGUGAAUGAAGUAGUGAGAAACCUUAGAGAAGUGCUCUCAGUGUCUCAUUUGGUGAGCGAUAGUGAUCCGUACUAGUGUAUCAAAGAAGGGGUUGUAGUGUGUUGAAAUUUCAGAAUUUUGGUUUUGUUGGUGUUUAUGAUUUUGGUCGGUUUUCGUGUUGAUCAUGUAUGAUUAAGGCUUGCUUUAUUGUGUAUGCUGCUGCUGGUUUUAUGAAGAAAGAAAGAGAGGGAGAAAGAAUAGUGUUUUUUGUUUUAGUAAAGAAUAAAGUUUCCUUGUAAGACACAUGUACCAAGAUCUAAGAGACUCCCUCAUUUCAUGCAAGUUUGUGAAGAAGAAAAAUAUGUAUAUCAUAAUUGAUUCUAUUAAAUAUUUUAUACUUUUUCAAUAGUUAAAAUAUCCUCACACUAAAAGAAAAUCAUGAAAUAGAAACCAAUUUUUAGACACCAAAGUAAUUAAUUACAAUAGAAACUAAAAUAGAGACCAUUUUAGAAACUAAAAAAAAAAUUGGUUUCUAAAUUAGCUUCUAUUAAUUUCUAUUUUUUGUUAAAUAGUUUCUAAAUUGGUAUCUAAUUAGCAACUAAGGUUUUAACUACCAAUUAUUUAGUUUUUAAAUUUGGUAGCAAAAACCUUGGUUGCUAAUUAGAUAUCAAUUUAUAAACUAUUUAACAUUAAUAGAAAAUAAUAGAAACAAAUUUAGAAAUCAAAUUUCUUUUUAAUUUCUAAAAUGUCUCUAAUUUAGUUACUAUUGCAACUAAUUAUUUUGGUUUCUACAAAUUGGUUUCUAUUUCAUGAUUUUAUUGUAGUUUGAUAAUUAAUCAGAAGUAAUUUUGAAUAAUAAUAUUAAUAAUAAAAAUGGUUAAAUAUAAAUACUUGUUAGUUUAUUUGUAUAUGACAAAUCAAAUAUUAUAACAUUCACAUGAAAUAUUUUAACAUAUUCAUUGUAAAAAUUUGUUUAUCGGAUAAAAAGAAAUUUAUAAAUAAUCAUUUUAACAGUUUAUAAUAUUCAGGAGGUAACAAAGAAAAAUAUAUUUAACCCUAAUAAAAAUAUUAAUAAUAAAUAAUUUUUCUUUUCUUUUAAACAAAUAUUAAUUAAUGUAUCAAAAUAAUUGACUAACAUUUUAACAAUGAACAAUUUGGAAUUCUAUGUGAUGAGGCAAAGUGAUUUGAAGACCAUAGGGUUCAAGUAUAUUGAAAUGCAACAAAAUGGAAUGUGAAGUAAAUUAUUCACAAAAUUAGUCAAGGAAUGUUGAAAUUUUUUAAACACAUUUUUUUUAAACAUACUCUUCAUUAUUAAAAAAAUAUUGAAAAUUACAAAAUAUUUAUUCUUUUACCAUCUUCUAGAACAUAAGUUUAUCUGAUGUUGUUAAGAGACAAUAACUAUUUUUUCACCUUCUUUCAAGGUAAAAUUUUACUGUUCAUAUUCUAAAACCCGCCCAAUAAUAUUACUUUAGCCCAUUAACUUUAUAUAAUUUAUUGUUUGGAUUGGGUUCACAGAAGGAAAGAAACUAGGGAAAAAGUAAAAUAAUAUAAAAUAAUAUUAUUUUGAUUAAGAGAAAGACUGAAAAACAAAAAUUAAAGGAAUAAAAAAUUAUAAAAGAUUUUGACUGAAAAAUUAUGUAAAAAUAUAGUUUAAUAUUUUAAAUUAAAUACUUAUUUUUUUAAAUAUAUUUAUAAAGCAUAAAAGUUUUACUUAAUUGUGAUAAAAGAUUAUUUUGAGAGAAUUUUUUAUUGCAUAAUUAAUAUAUUAAAUUGUUAUUAAAGAUGUGUAUAUUUCAUUAUGUAUUUAUGAAUAUAAUUUAUUGCACACCUCAUUAAUAUUAUAUAAUUAAUUUUAUUUAAAUUUUCGAAUUUUAAUAUAUUGAAAUUGUAAAUUACAUGUUUCAUUACACCAAUUAAAAAGUGUAACCUUAGAUUCCUUACAUCAGUCUAAAAAAUUAAUGGGCAAAUAAUCUUACAUCUAUAUAUUUUUUAUUUAUUUCGGAAUAUGCACCUCUGUAUAAUGUUUUUACUUUAGCAUCUAAAAUUAAUAAAAUGGUUACAAUAAAUUAAUUUCAAAAAAUAUAACUCAGUUAGUUUUGGUUUGCUCAAUUUUUUUCUUAUUAUGUAAUUUUAGUUUAUAAAUUUAUUUGCAAAGUCAUAUUUACGAGUAAAAAUAAAUAUUUUUCUUUUAUUCUAGCAUUUUUACUGUAUUAAUUAACUUCUAAAGUAUUCAAAACAAAUCAAGUUAAACUUGACUAAUAUAAAAAAAAUUCCAACUAUUAGUAACAUUGUACCAAUAUCUAUAAUAACAAAAGUAACAUUUUAUUUUUUUCAUCUUAAUAAAUCUCAAUAAUACAUAAAUAAAAUUAAGAAAACAAAUUCUUAAAACUUUUUACUUUCUUCUUAAAUCAACUUACCAAAGAGGGGUAAUAAUUUGAUAUACCCGUUUCUUUCUCUUUAAAUAUAAAGUAAAUAUACGUAAACAAAUACAGGAAUUGAAAAAUCUUGGACAAGGAAAUUGCAUGAUAUCAAACUCUGAGUUUGGUUAUAAAAAAAAGAAAGAAAAAGAAUAACUUUGAAUUGAUAAGAUAAUCAAUAUAACAUAAUUAAUUAUGUUAUUAAAAUAUAAAAUAAAGUUGAACUAUAUUUUAUUAUUAUAAUCUAUCAUAAUGUUUUUGUUAUCUUUUCUAAUUAUAAUUAUAAUAAAUAAAAUUAGUAAUUGUUGGAUAUCUCACCUUGUUUAAAAAUUAAAAUAAUUGCUAUAAGAAAACACAUAUGAAAUAGAAACUAAUUUUAGAGAAAAAAAAAUUAGUUGUUAUAAUAACUAAAUUAGAUAACAUUUUAAAAACUAAAAACAAAAUUUGGUUUCUAAAUUAGUUUCUAUUAUUGUUAAAUCGUUUCUAAAUUGGUAUCUAACUAACAACCAAAGUUUUAACUACCAAUUAUUUAAUUUCUAAAUUUGGUACAAAAAAACCUUGUUGGUUGCUAAUUAAAUACCAAUUUAGAAACAAUUUAACAAUCAUAUAAACUAAUUUAGAAACCAAUAAAAAAAUUGUCUAUAAAAUGGUCUCUAAUUUAGUUACUAUAACAACUAAUUAUUUUUUUCACUAAAAAUUAGUUUUUAUUUCAUGAUUUUCUUGUAGUAAAUAGUGUAAACCUCUUUUUAUAUAAACUAGUUUUAGUUUUAUGAAAUUUAGUUAAAAUUAAUUUGUAUUAGUCUCAUUUAGAAUGCAUCAUAACAGUUAUUUAAAUUUAAAGUUUAUUUUUUAAUAAUAAUAACGAAUAUUUUUUUAUUAACUUUUUUUUAACUCUUUUUUCUAACACACCAUAAAAAGUUUUACAUAUACAGUGCGGUGCAUAGUAAAAGAGAAAUCAACAUAGGUUAUUAAAUAUUUAAAUAAUUAAGUAGUCUUCGUCAUAUUUUUUUUUCUCUUCAAUAAAAAAAAUAACACAUCACUCAGUUUAAAAAAAAUAUUAAAACUUUUUUCUAAUUAAGUUAAUUUUCUAAUAUGUGUUAAUUUUAACUGAAAUUAAGGAUUAUGAAAAUGGCGAAUUUUGAGGUCAAAUAUUAAUGAUGAGAGUGAGGUGGCAAAGACAUGUGUAAAAGAUGAGGAAUUUGAAGCUUGGAUUCUUCUUGUUUGUUUGGAUAUAUAUGUGAAUAUGGCAGAAGGUAUAAUAUAUAAUUUUUCUGUCUUUUUCUACCUUUAAUAAAAAAAACAUGAACAUAGUUAGGUUUAUCAAAAGGCAAAAUACAAACAAACUCUAAUUUGUGGUCGAUAGAACCAAUCUUUUGGUACCAGGAGAAUUGUUUUUAUUUGAUCCAUAGAAAAAGGACAAACAAAAAAGAAUUUUUUGAGUAAGUAAAAGUUAAGAACAAUACAAAAGUUCAUUAUUGAGUUAAGACUACAAGAACCUUCAAGCAGAAAACGUGAAGAAAUAGGGCCUCGAGGGUUAAUUAUAUGUCAACUUUUUAAAACAUUAAUUGUAAGAGUUUAAUUUUGAUAACUAUUAAUUAGGUUAUGAUUGUUUUAUGUUACUAAUUAGUUAAAAAUAAUGUAAAUAUGACUUUUAAAAGAUUUUUUAUAUUUAUUUUAUUAAAGCUCAUAUGUUAGGCAUUAUGAAGCUGGACAUCUCAGUUAAGCUGACACCUCAAUUAACAACCAACCAUUAUCUGCCACCACAUUAAAAAAUAUUAUUAAAAAAAAGAAAUGAAAUAAAAAAAAUAUGUGGAGACUAAACCAAAACUCAUAUAUUAACGAAAACGAGAUACAUAGGUAAUCUAUAUCUAUUAAUAAAAAAAAUACUAUAUGAAAACCUAUUAUAUCAAUGAAAAUACUUUCUAUGAAUGAAACCUAAUUUAACAAGUUUAUCCACACAUGCAUUUUCUUCACAAAAAAUGUAAGAAACUUUAAACCUGAUUUUCCCACAGUAGUUAAGACAAAUGUUCCACCUAUUACAAAAUAUCCAAGGAACAUUAGUCCUAGCAGUAAAUAAAGCACAGACUAAGGCAGAAUCACAUUCAAGCCAUAAACUAGUAAGAUCCAUCUUUUGAGCUUAUUCAAUAGCAUGUAUAAUUCCAUAAAACUCAGCAACCAAAACAGUCUGAAUAUCAAGGAAAACAAAGAAAUCACCAAUAAAUUUCUCCAUACUUCCACAAAAAAUACUACCACAAGUAGCAAGACCAGGAGAACCCCUAACAACACCAUUCGUAUUUAUAUACCCAACAUGGAAAAGAAAAAAAUAAUUUGUAUAUUGAUAAUAACAAAACUUAAUAUAUAUAUAUAAUUAAAUUAGAAUAAUGAUGUAAGAUUAUAAUGUAAAUAAAGAAAGCACAUGUUUACUGGAGAUUGUGAUUUGGGAAUAUAAUUUUAAAAUUAUUCUAUUUUUAGUAAAAAAAUAUCUUUUUAUUGUUAUUUAGUGAAGAAUUUUCAACAUAUCAACACUCAUUAAAUAUUAAAUUAGAGAAAUGUUACUUUAAAAAUUUUACAUUGAACAAGUUAAAUUUACAAUUAUGUUUUGACUAAUGCAUUUUCAAAAUUACUUCAUUUCAAAAAAAAAAUAUUUCUCUUUUUAUAUGUAAUUUAUUUUAUCAACAAAGAAAAAAUAAAUUAAAUGAAGGUAUUUCAAGAAUUUAUACAAAAUACCAUUUUAAUCUGUAAUACACUCUAAAGACCAAAAAAUCCUACAGUAUAUCUAAAAGAACUACUUAUAUUAAUCCCAAUACUAAAAAUUAAACUAUAAUAUAUAUAUAUAUAUAUAAUUUUCAUAAUACACAUAAAAAACAACUUUACUCAUAUGAUUGUACCUUGUAUUCUACCUUAGCAUAUGCUCCUUUAAAUGAUAUACAUUACAAAAACCCUUCUUCUCUUCGUACAUGUAUAAUUUGAUAGAAGAUUCUCAUCAUAUCAUCAAUCAUUCAUAUUUUGUCCUCAUUAGAUUUCAAUAUCUCAUAAGAUGAGCUGUUUUGGAAUUAGAAGAAAUUAAUAAUUUUAUGCAAACAAGUUUUUUUUUUUUUUAAGUUAUAUUUUAUUUUUAGUGUCAACUUCAUGGUGUCAGGUAUGAUAAAACAUGUCUUGGAUGGAGGGUCUCCAUUUUUAUUGCUCUAAGAUUUCGAAAUCUCAUAUGGACCAGAUGCAAGCUUCUCACUCUUUUUCAACAUUUAAUAUAACAUAAAUUAAUGUAAGUACAUCAUUUUUUUUAAAUUACUAAAUAAAUAAAAUAAAUUAUAUAUAAUAGUAUUUUUUUAAAUAUUGAUGGAUUUACGGGAUAUAUAUAUAAUAAAAUUUAUCAGUAUUUUUUAAAAUAUAUUAAUUUGACCUUAUAAAUACUGAUAGUUUGUAUAAAUUUUAUUUUGAUAGUCUAAUAAAUUUACUGAAUUAUAUCAGUUAUAUUGAGUUUAUUCAAAUAUUAAUAAUAUAUAUAUAUAUAUUCUAUAUUAAUUAAUUAGUCAAAAACUAUAAAAAAAUAUUAACACCUGAGUAAUUUUUAACUUCUGUGUAAAAAGAUAAAUUGUGCUUUCCUUUUAUAAACUCUUGCAGAAAUUUCUAAAUUUGUGUAUCUGUUUUAUUUUUUUAACUCACGCUCGCCCGUCACUAAAUGUGUAAGAUUAAUGGAUUUUUCUUUUGUUUAUCUAUUUCUUUUGUAGUAAAAUAUAUAUUUUAAAUGAUAAAAUAUUAUUACGGAGUGAACUUUAAACUUAACUCAACCCCAUAAAAGCAGCUCAUAGGGUUGAGGUUUGCACCCACUUAUAUACAAUUAAAGGCUCUAAUCUCUAGUCGAUGUGGGAUCUCCAACACACCCCCUUCACGCCGAGACUGCCAACUCGAGCGUGGGACUAUAUAUUAUGGGUGGUCCGAUAGCGGCCGGCACGAUAAGCCCAACAAAUACUCGCUAGGAUAGGCUCGAAAACCUCUGAUACCAUGUUACGAAGUGGACUUUAAGCCUAACUCAACCCCAUAAAACCGGUUCAAUAAGGUGAGGUUGAGGUUUGCACCCACUUAUAUACAAUGAAAGGCUCUAAUCUCUAGUCAAUGUGGGAUCUCCAACAUAUAUUUUUUUUGUAGUAAAAUAUAUAUUUUAAAUGAUAAAAUAUAGCUUUAUAAUUUGAAUUAAGAUAUUAAUAAAUAACAUUUUCUAGAAUACAAUAGAAUGUUUGAUAUAUACCAAACAAAAACAAAGACACAAAAAGAAAAGAAAAUAAAAACUAAAAGAAAAUGGGCCAAAAGUAAGAAGCCCAAAAUAAAAACAGAUUACAAAAAAAGAAGAGCCCAAACACAUUUAGUUUAUCAUAUAUAAUUACGUAUGUAUACAUGUAUAGAUAACUAUGUACAAAUUACGUACACAUACAUUAGUAAGUAAUUAUGUACGAAUACAUGAACAGCUAAUUAUAUAUAGAUACAUUCGUAUAUAAUUGCAUACUAAUAAAUUUAUAGGUAAUUACAUUUUCGGAAAGUCUUGCAUUCUAAAUAUACUACGGAUUAAUUAACAUUUUUUGGAAUUUCAGUAAAAACAUAUAUUUUAUAUGGCUUUACUCAUUCACAAUAUUCAUGAAUAAACUUUAGAAGCAAUAAUUCACAAUGAAACGAAUAAAGUCAUAUAUUCACCAAUAAUUUAUCAAUAAUAAAAGUUCAAAAAAUAUAUAACAUCUAGGUUCAAAUAAGUAUAUAUUAUCCAAACAUUAUAAAAUUUCAUCCUAAUAAAAAAAAUUGCAAGCACCAUAAAGAUCUAGUGAAUGAAAUGUAAUUUAUUGUGAUGGUGAUUCUUUGCAUUGAAAAUAUGUAUUAUUUUGUAUCAUUCUCUGAUUAUAUAGAUAUUGUUCUCAUACCUCAUAUUUAAAUUAAACUAAUCAUUUUAAGUUCUCUUGCUCAUGUAAUCACUAUAACUUUAGAAACAUUAUCAAAACUUCGUUCUUCCUAAAAUCAUUUUCACCUUUCAAAUUUGAACUUCUUUAAAGGAUAAUUUGAAUCAAUCUUUUUAACGUUAAUGUUUAUGAGUAAGAACAAAAUGAUGUUUAACAUUUGUAUUCAGAAUCUAGAAUUUAAGAUUUAGGGUUUAGUUUAUUGUUUCUACUUUGUUAAAGCACAAAGUUAUUUUAUAACCUUUUUAUAGAUUAAAAAAUCGAAGUACAUAUAUGUUGACGAGACCAUGAGCACAUAUAAUAUAGUAUCGGAUAUCGUAAUUUUUGUCCAAAAACACCAAAUUUAACUGCACAACAACACCUGAAUCAAACUGUGUUUUUCAAAGUUUGCUCAAUUUAUUAAAUAAUCUGAUAUGAAGCAUAUGAGUAUCUGACACUUCUACAACUAUGACUAUUCUCUCAAUAUAUUAUAUUAUAAACAUAAUAUUCUCACGAAAAUAAACAAUAUAUAUAACAAUCACAGUUAUCACUCUUAUUCCAUAUACUCCUUGUAUUAACAAAACCUGCAAAUUAUCCUACACAUUCAAUUUGAUUAUGGCUAAGAAUGUAUAAAUUUAUAUAUUACAACUAUAUUUUAUUAAAUAUAUGUUAUUACGUAUGAUGUUACUGAAGUGGUUAUACUCUAUGGCAUGGUAUUGAAUUAUGGAUGAAUGAUAAUGGUCCCACAUUUCAGCGUCACUCAUCGAACUGCAUGAAAAACGAGUCACACUUUGUCGCAUCCUUAUAUAUCUCACAUUCUAUCUAUGUCUUGCACGUACUUCUUCCACCACAACAUCAACUUUCAUUUUCUCUUCUCUCUCAUUCCCAUGGAGGAGGACUCCUGCAACAACAAUAAUUCCCACCUUCACAUGGUAACUCAACACACUCACUCACACUCAUCAAAUCUUCUUCAUUUCUUGCUCUUUCAAUCAACUCAUCCUUCUUUUUCGUGCAGGAAAUGGAUUUCUUCGACAACAAUGACUUCGACGAUUUCUUCUCCGACAUCAUCCUCCACCAGACGCCACCGCCCACGCCCUUCUCCUCCGGAAGCGAAAGCGAUCACUCCUUUCCCGCUUCCUCCUUCCUCCCCAACGCCGCCGCUAAACGCUCCUCUCCCAGGACUUACAUUCUCUCCUUCGAUAACUCCACGGUGGUGCCCGCCACUCCCGAACCCUCCGUCCCUUCUUCCCCUUUACCUGCCAAACGCGCCCUCAACGCUCAAAACCCCAAAACCAGACCCAAUCAAGGAUCCAAGAGAACCCGAACCUCUUCUCAGACCAUCGAUCACAUAAUGGCCGAGAGAAGGAGGAGGCAGGAACUCUCCGAGAGGUUCAUAGCACUCUCAGCCACCAUUCCCGGCUUGAACAAGGUGCUCUAAUCUUUCCUUCACUUCUUCAUUCACUCAAUUCAAUUUUACUCUUUUUUUUAUCUACAAAGAACCAAGAUAUUUCAUCAUAAACUUCUACCAUUUUCUAACGUAUCACUUAGUUCAAUUAUGUAUUCUCAAAUACAACAUAUAUUGAAAGCUUGAAUUCAUUUUCUAACCUAAAUCAACUGCAUACUUUACUAUGAUUAUCUAUUGGUAAUAACUCCUACAUAGGAUUUGACAUUGUGAACAUCCAUCUCUCCUUAUAUUGGUUGAUGAAAAGAGAUAUGAGAAAAGAAAAGAAAGAGGAAUCGUGUAAUUACAAAUACAAAAGAUGUUAAAAAGUGGUCACUUGAUUUUUAAAAAAUGACGGAAAAGGCUGCAAAUUUUCUGCAUGAUUAGAGUGGGUGUCUUGUUAUGUACAACCACUGAGUAAAAAGCACGUGGGAGAGUGUUGAAAGCAGAAGAUUACAAAGAAAUCUGGAGUCGUUUUAGGAAAGAAUAAUGGAAUGAUUUAUAAUUGUGAAAUUGGUAUGUAUAGACGGAUAAGGCUUCUGUACUUCGAGCAGCGAUCGAUUAUGUGAAACAGCUGAAAGAAAAGGUACAGGAGCUGGAGAAAGAAAGCAGAAAGAGUGCAGAAGAGACAGUGAUAUUGGUGAAUAAAAGCAACCCAAAUGGAAAUGAAGAGAUCACCAACUCCUCCACUGAAACCAACUGCAGCAUCCUUCCGGAGAUGAAAGCAAGAGUGUUGGGGAAGGAGGUUCUCAUUGAGAUCCACUGUGAGAAAGAAUAUGGUGUUGAGAUCAAAAUAUUGGACCACCUUGAGAAUCUUCAUCUCUGUGUCACCGGAAGCAGUGUCUUGCCAUUUGGGAAUUCAGCUCUCUGCAUUACCAUCACAGCUCAGGUAUCUUAUAUUUUAU